rnacentral:rRNA from 1 species
GAUGAACGCUGGCUACAGGCUUAACACAUGCCAGUCGAGGGGAAACGCCGGGGAAGCUUGCUUCCCCGGGCGUCGACCGGCGCACGGGUGAGUAACGCGUAUCCAACCUGCCUCUGACUGAGGGAUAACCCGUCGAAAGUCGGCCUAAUACCUCAUGGCAUCGUCUGCGGGCAUCCAACGACGAUUAAAGAUUUCAUCGGUCAGGGAUGGGGAUGCGUCUGAUUAGCUUGUUGGCGGGGUAACGGCCCACCAAGGCUACGAUCAGUAGGGGUUCUGAGAGGAAGGUCCCCCACAUUGGAACUGAGACACGGUCCAAACUCCUACGGGAGGCAGCAGUGAGGAAUAUUGGUCAAUGGGCGGGAGCCUGAACCAGCCAAGUAGCGUGCAGGAUGACGGCCCUAUGGGUUGUAAACUGCUUUUAUGCGGGGAUAAAGUGAGGGACGUGUCCUUCAUUGCAGGUACCGCAUGAAUAAGGACCGGCUAAUUCCGUG